AUCGUAGUUAAUAUGCUGCUUAGAGUUUUGAGGAGAGAAUGCCUUAACUCCAAUGCCACUUGUGUAAAUGCACCUGUCAGGGCAAUGGGAAGCAAUUGCACAAAGUGAUCCUGGGAAAUAACUGGGUUCACUGAUCAGCACGUGUGGUGGUCACAGCCAGCUCAGCACCACCGUCUCAGCCCGACAGAGGGUCUAGCCUCGGCUCCAGGAACAAACCACACAGGGAAGGCAGCUGGCACUACUCUGCUGAGGAUGGUGGAGAAACUUAAAACACAGGUCCAUUGGAAACCAGGCCACGUUGGUUUCAUCAUCUAAAACCAGUCACUUGCUAACUUCCAAUAGCCAACACUGAACAGUAGUUUCUCAACACAGCUUCUGGAAGAACUCUCUUGAAAACCACACAUUUCCUCUGAAAUGGCAUCAACAAAAUUUAUUUAAAACUAGUUGUUCUCUGGACCUCCCCAAUUUUGCUGUCUUGCAAAGGGCAAAAAAUUUUGACGUGUCCCAGUGGCAGCAGCUGUAUUGAAGAGCUGACAUCAGUGCCUACCCCGUAAAAGAUUCUCCAGUCUAGAUUAGCUCUGUGACAUGCGACAGGAGAUGCACUGUCAUUUAGUCUUGGUUCACACUGGAUAGUAUUUCUCAUCCCUCAGGUUUACCUCAUCUUGUUUCCAGGUGAUCAGCCAGCAGGACGGGUACUGUGUCAGGAGGAAGGAAUGGAAAUCUGUCCACAGGCUGUGGCUCUAGCUUGACUUCUCACACUAGGGCUCUUUUGUAAAUAAAAUAUUGAUGCCCAGGCCCAUGAAGCUUUAUGUCAUCAAGGCAGUGGACAACGCUAUUACAUGCUCAAUAAAAGUACAUCAUGGAACUCAGUAGAGACGAUUGAUCUGCAGCUUGAAACAGAGAAGCUGGUGUUAAAUAAAAUUAGGUUGUCAAUGGCUCUUCUGAAAGAUUUCUUUGUGUUGAGACAGUACCAAUUGGAGGCAGCAUAGACCAGUUUUUAAUCCAGUAUGUGGAAGGAAAAUUAGGAUAGAGGAGUAGCUAUUUUUCUCACCUACUCAAAAGAAUAUUUGUAAAGAAUAUUUCUAGAGAGUUGAAGCCAGUGCUGUACCUAUAGAGUACAGAACCUACAGUUCCAGUAGAGACACAGCAUUUAUUGAUGCCUGAUUUUUGUCCAAGUAUCUAAAUCAUGACAAGGUAAAUUAUUUUUAUACACUUAGACUAAAAGGCAAUAAUGCAAUAUAUUCCUCUCCACCUCACAAACCUGUUUAGUGGUAGGGACGAGGCCUGGGAAAUACCUGCUGCAUUGAUGCUUAGUACAUAAAGAGGAGUGAGGGCUUAAGUUAUUAGUUUAGUCCAGGCAUAAUGUAAACAAUGCAUAGAUUCUACACAGCAGUUUGUUAUAGUGGCCUGAUUCUGGUUAUAGUACUUAUGUUUUGGCAGUCCAAAGCUUGUCUAGGUGAGAAGAUGCCCAUUGUUUCAAACAGGAUUGUGGUUUGGUCACAUCUAAUUGGCUUGAUGUGUCCUAGGACUGCUUGUUAAAAUAUCUACUAACAGAAUUGAUUAACAGCAUGAUUUAAAAAAUAAAUAAAUCUGGGUUUCACAGGAGAAAAUACUUAUAAACAUAUUUUUCAAAAAGGAAAAAGAAAAAAAUAAAUUGCAAUACUGCAUUUUCUGCAUUGUAAAAGCAAUAGUUGUAAUUUUAGAUACGACAUAAUGUUUGUUUAUUGUAUGAAUUGAUCUGUGCAGCCAUAUUCUUGUAUAAAACUCCAACGAUGUCAAUAUAUUCUUGUAUAAAACUCCAACAAU